rnacentral:rRNA from 1 species
UACAGAGGGGGCUAGCGUUAUUCGGAAUUAUUGGGCGUAAAGGGCGCGUAGGCGGCCAUGCGUGUCUUCCGUGAAAUCCCUCGGCUCAACUGAGGACGUGCGGAAGAAACUGCAAGGCUCGAGUCCGGGAGAGGGGGGUGGAAUUCCCAGUGUAGCGGUGAAAUGCGUAGAGAUGAGGAGGAACACCAGUGGCGAAGGCGGCCACCUGGACAGUAACUGACGCUGAGGCGCGAAAGCGUGGGUAGCAAACAGG